GCCCCAGUGGUGUAAUGGUAACACGCCCUGCUGGGAUGGGUGAAACGCGGGUUCAACUCCCAACUGAGGUC